UACAGAGGGUGCAAGCGUUAAUCGGAAUUACUGGGCGUAAAGGGUGCGUAGGUGGUUGAAUAAGUUAGGUGUGAAAGUCCUGGGCUUAACCUGGGGACUGCGCCUAAUACUGUUUAACUAGAGUACUGUAGAGGAAGGUGGAAUUUCCAGUGUAGCGGUGAAAUGCGUAGAUAUUGGAAGGAACAUCUGUGGCGAAGGCGACCUUCUGGACAGAUACUGACACUGAGGCACGAAAGCGUGGGGAGCAAACAGG
rnacentral:rRNA from 1 species